rnacentral:ncRNA from 1 species
CACAUGCAAGUCGAACGAAGUGGUGUUUCCAGUGGCGAACGGGUGAGUAACGCGUCAGAACCUGCCCUUGGGAGGGGAACAACAACUGGAAACGGUUGCUAAUACCCCGUAGGCUGAGGAGCAAAAGGAGAAAUCCGCCCAAGGAGGGGCUCGCGUCUGAUUAGCUAGUUGGUGAGGCAAUAGCUUACCAAGGCGAUGAUCAGUAGCUGG